rnacentral:rRNA from 1 species
CCUACGGGAGGCAGCAGUAAGGAAUAUUGGACAAUGCCCGCAAGGGUGAUCCAGCCAUGCCGCGUGCAGGAAGACGGACCUAUGGUUUGUAAACUGCUUUUGAACAAGAGAAAACCCUCCUACGUGUAGGAGGCUGAUAGUAUUGUUAGAAUAAGCAUCGGCUAACUUCGUGCCAGCAGCCGCGGUAAGACGAAGGAUGCAAGCGUUAUCCGGAUUCAUUGGGUUUAAAGGGAGCGUAGGCGGCUUGAUAAGUCAGUGGUGAAAUCUUCUCGCUUAACGAGAAAACUGCCAUUGAUACUGUCAAGCUUGAGUACAGUUGCCGUUGGCGGAAUAUGACAUGUAGUGGUGAAAUACAUAGAGAUGUCAUAGAACACCGAUUGCGAAGGCAGCUAACGAAACUGUAACUGACGCUGAGGCUCGAAAGUGCGGGGAUCAAACAGGAUUAGAUACCCUGGUAGUCCGCACUGUAAACUAUGAUUACUCGCUGCUGGAGGGCAACUUUCAGUGGCUUAGCGAAAGCGAUAAGUAAUCCACCUGGGGAGUACGCCGGCAACGGUGAAACUCAAAGGAAUUGACGG